rnacentral:ncRNA from 1 species
UACUUGGUUGAUCCUGCCAAGGAAGCACACUUAGGUCAUAGAUUAAGCCAUGCAAGUGUUAGUUCAGGUAACGAAACUGCGAAUAGCUCAUUAAUACGCUCAGAAUCUAUUUGGCGGCGACCAACAGGUCUUAAAUGGAUAGCAGCAGCAACUCUGGUGCUAAUACAUGCGAUUGUUUCUCCAGAUGUGAAUUAUGGAGGAAAAGUUGACCUCAUCAGAGGCACGCCAUUCGACUGAGUGACCUAUCAGCUUGUACUUAAGGUCUUUACCUAGGUAGGCUAUCACGGGUAACGGGCGGUUACCGUCGGACUGCCGGAGAAGGCGCCUGAGAGAUAGCGACUAUAUCCACGGGUAGCAGCAGGCGCGAAACUUUCCCACUCGAGACUUUCGGAGGAGGUAAUGACCAGUUCCAUUGGUGCCUUUUGGUACUGUGGAUAGGGGUACGGUUUUCCACCGUACCGAAACCUAGCAGAGGGCCAGUCUGGUGCCAGCAGCUGCGGUAAUUCCAGCUCUGCGAGUUUGCUCCCAUAUUGUUGCAGUUAAAACGCCCGUAGUCUGAAUUGGCCAGCAAUGGUCGUACGUAUUUUUACGUUCACUGUGAACAAAUCAGGACGCUUAGAGUAUGGCCACAUGAAUGACUCAGCGCAGUAUGAAGUCUUUGUUUUCUUCCGAAAACAAGCUCAAUGAGAGCCAUCGGGGGUAGAUCUAUCUCAUGACGAGUGGUGGAAUACUUUGACUCAUGAGAGAGAAGCUGAGGCGAAGGCGUCUACCUAGAGGGUUUCUGUCGAUCAAGGGCGAGAGUAGGAGUAUCCAACAGGAUUAGAGACCCUGGUAGUUCCUACCUUAAACGAUGCCGACAGGAGUUUGUCAUUUGUUA